AAAUUGAAGAGUUUGAUCAUGGCUCAGAUUGAACGCUGGCGGCAGGCCUAACACAUGCAAGUCGAACGGUAACAGGAAUCAGCUUGCUGAUUUGCUGACGAGUGGCGGACGGGUGAGUAAUGUCUGGGAAACUGCCUGAUGGAGGGGGAUAACUACUGGAAACGGUAGCUAAUACCGCAUAAUGUCGCAAGACCAAAGAGGGGGACCUUCGGGCCUCUUGCCAUCGGAUGUGCCCAGAUGGGAUUAGCUAGUAGGUGGGGUAACGGCUCACCUAGGCGACGAUCCCUAGCUGGUCUGAGAGGAUGACCAGCCACACUGGAACUGAGACACGGUCCAGACUCCUACGGGAGGCAGCAGUGGGGAAUAUUGCACAAUGGGCGCAAGCCUGAUGCAGCCAUGCCGCGUGUAUGAAGAAGGCCUUCGGGUUGUAAAGUACUUUCAGCGGGGAGGAAGGGAGUAAAGUUAAUACCUUUGCUCAUUGACGUUACCCGCAGAAGAAGCACCGGCUAACUCCGUGCCAGCAGCCGCGGUAAUACGGAGGGUGCAAGCGUUAAUCGGAAUUACUGGGCGUAAAGCGCACGCAGGCGGUUUGUUAAGUCAGAUGUGAAAUCCCCGGGCUCAACCUGGGAACUGCAUCUGAUACUGGCAAGCUUGAGUCUCGUAGAGGGGGGUAGAAUUCCAGGUGUAGCGGUGAAAUGCGUAGAGAUCUGGAGGAAUACCGGUGGCGAAGGCGGCCCCCUGGACGAAGACUGACGCUCAGGUGCGAAAGCGUGGGGAGCAAACAGGAUUAGAUACCCUGGUAGUCCACGCCGUAAACGAUGUCGACUUGGAGGUUGUGCCCUUGAGGCGUGGCUUCCGGAGCUAACGCGUUAAGUCGACCGCCUGGGGAGUACGGCCGCAAGGUUAAAACUCAAAUGAAUUGACGGGGGCCCGCACAAGCGGUGGAGCAUGUGGUUUAAUUCGAUGCAACGCGAAGAACCUUACCUGGUCUUGACAUCCACGGAAGUUUUCAGAGAUGAGAAUGUGCCUUCGGGAACCGUGAGACAGGUGCUGCAUGGCUGUCGUCAGCUCGUGUUGUGAAAUGUUGGGUUAAGUCCCGCAACGAGCGCAACCCUUAUCCUUUGUUGCCAGCGGUCCGGCCGGGAACUCAAAGGAGACUGCCAGUGAUAAACUGGAGGAAGGUGGGGAUGACGUCAAGUCAUCAUGGCCCUUACGACCAGGGCUACACACGUGCUACAAUGGCGCAUACAAAGAGAAGCGACCUCGCGAGAGCAAGCGGACCUCAUAAAGUGCGUCGUAGUCCGGAUUGGAGUCUGCAACUCGACUCCAUGAAGUCGGAAUCGCUAGUAAUCGUGGAUCAGAAUGCCACGGUGAAUACGUUCCCGGGCCUUGUACACACCGCCCGUCACACCAUGGGAGUGGGUUGCAAAAGAAGUAGGUAGCUUAACCUUCGGGAGGGCGCUUACCACUUUGUGAUUCAUGACUGGGGUGAAGUCGUAACAAGGUAACCGUAGGGGAACCUGCGGUUGGAUCACCUCCUUACCUUAAAGAAGC
rnacentral:rRNA from 1 species